AGCUAUAUGUUUUAUAAAUUACAGGUGAGCUCCGUUAACUCGCACACGCAGAAGUUGCGAUUCGGCUUUACUCGCGGUCAAGUUGUGGACCCUGAAAAUUUAGAUUA